ACGCCUAUCAGUUCAUGCUCCAAGACAGAGAAAACCAGUCGAUCCUGAUCACAGGAGAAUCCGGUGCUGGAAAGACUGUCAACACCAAACGUGUC